rnacentral:rRNA from 1 species
CCUACGGGCGGCAGCAGUGGGGAAUAUUGCACAAUGGGCGCAAGCCUGAUGCAGCCAUGCCGCGUGUGUGAAGAAGGCCUUCGGGUUGUAAAGCACUUUCAGCGGGGAGGAAGGCGUUAAGGUUAAUAACCUUGGCGAUUGACGUUACCCGCAGAAGAAGCACCGGCUAACUCCGUGCCAGCAGCCGCGGUAAUACGGAGGGUGCAAGCGUCAAUCGGAAUUACUGGGCGUAAAGCGCACGCAGGCGGUCCGUCAAGUCGGAUGUGAAAUCCCCGGGCUCAACCUGGGAACUGCAUUCGAAACUGGCAGGCUAGAGUCUUGUAGAGGGGGGUAGAAUUCCAGGUGUAGCGGUGAAAUGCGUAGAGAUCUGGAGGAAUACCGGUGGCGAAGGCGGCCCCCUGGACAAAGACUGACGCUCAGGUGCGAAAGCGUGGGGAGCAAACAGGAUUAGAUACCCGGGUAGUC